CAAGCAAUGGUGGGGCGGAUGGUUAGACCAUGUGGCAAGGUGCCACUGCAUGCGCUUGCAUAUAGUGAGCACCAUCUGGAUGUCUCCCCGCACGUCUGCGUACAGAUCCUCAAUCGCCUUCUCUGAUCCGUCAAUGUUCUACCUCAUGCAAGGAAUAUCUUGAGACUGAAUUAAUGCCGGAACAGAUGGACAAUUCAGAGUUAAGUCACUCUAUUGACAGAGAGGUAGCAGGUUGGUGUGAAGCCAUGCACACUCUUGAGUUAACAGAUGAGGAACUGGCCGAAGUGAUUGUAAAGUUUUGUAAGAGUCUGGAUUAUCCCAGGUCAAGGGAAUCAGCCCAAGUAGCUAGUGUGGAAAAUGCUCCGAGGUCCGAAGGAUUAAUGAUAGAAGCGAUAGAAAAGAAUCCCUUUCCCCAGGAAACAAGUACACCCAAGAAAGAAUUGAAGACCCUCCCACCUGGCCUCAAGUAUGCAUAUCUGGAGGAGAACGAGACGUUCUCAGUAAUUUUGAACAUCAACUUGACCUAAGAGCAGGAAGGAAGACUAUUGGAAGUGAUCCGUCCUGAUCUUUGCAUGCAUCACAUUAGGCUGGAGGAAGGUGCGAAAGCCCACAGGGAUUUACAGAGGAAGUUAAAUCCGAAUAUAAGAGAAGUGGUCUUGAAAGAGGUGUUGAAAUUACUGUCCCUGGGAAUCAUCUAUUCUAUCCCAGAUAGCGAGUGGGUGAACCCAAUCCACAUGGUGUCGAACAAAUCAGUGAUACAAGUGGUGAAGAAUGAAAAGAAUGAGCUUGUGCCUACAAGGCUUGUAACAAGUUGGAGGAUGUGUAUUGACUACAGGAAGUUGAAUGAGGCUACCCAAAAAGAGCACUUCCCGUUACCCUUCAUUGACCAGAUGCUUGAGAGGCUAGCAGGUAAGCAGUUCUUCUGUUUUUUGGACGGUUACAGCGGAUACUUCCAAAUUUACGUGGACCCGGAAGAUCAAGAGAGGACUACAUUUACGUGCCCCUUUGGGACGUACGCAUAUAGGAGGAUGCCGUUUGUACUGUGCAAUGCGCCAGACACUUUUCAACGAUGCAUGAUGAGCAUCUUUUCAGACCUGCUGGUAGACAUGCACAAACCGAACCGGCCCGACGGUUAACCGCCGGUUCGGGCCCGCCGGUUCAUGAACCGGAACCGGCGGUUUAUGUGACUAGCCAUGGCCAUAUGGGCUACAUGUAUAUAUAUCUUUGGAUUGGACCGGCCCGACCUGACCCAAUAUCUUGUUGGCCCAUAAUCUAUAUGGUUAGAUCAGUUAAUUAUAUAUGUAAAAGAAAUUAAUUAAUUUUGUCACUUUAUAUAUAUACCUCUUUAUGACUUCAUUCA